rnacentral:rRNA from 1 species
GACGAACGCUGGCGGCGCGCUUAACACAUGCAAGUCGAACGGAAAGGCCUGCUUUCCCUUGUGGAUUGCGGGUACUCGAGUGGCGAACGGGUGAGUAACACGUGAGUGAUCUGCCCCCAACUUGGGUAUAAGCCUGGGAAACUGGGUCUAAUUCCCGAUAGGACUGCAGGGUGGUGCCUGUGGUGGAAAACGAUUUUCUAGUGGUUGGGGAUGAGCUCGCGGCCUAUCAGCUUGUUGGUGGGGUAAUGGCCUACCAAGGCGGCGACGGGUAGCCGGCCUGGGAGGGUGGACGGCGACAUUGGGACUGGGAUACGACCCAGACGCCAACGGGAGGCAGCAGUGGGGAAUAUUGCACAAUAGGCGGAAGCCUGAUGCAGCGACGCCGCGUGGGGGAUGACGGCCUUCGGGUUGUAAACUCCUUUCGACCGCGAGGAAGCCACCUGGUUGGAAGGGUGGUGACGGUAGUGGUAGAAGAAGCACCGGCUAACUACGUG